GAUGAACGCUAGCUACAGGCUUAACACAUGCAAGUCGAGGGGCAUCAGGAAGAAAGCUUGCUUUCUUUGCUGGCGACCGGCGCACGGGUGAGUAACACGUAUCCAACCUGCCCUUUACUCGGGGAUAGCCUUUCGAAAGAAAGAUUAAUACCCGAUAGCAUAAUGAUUCCGCAUGGUUUCAUUAUUAAAGGAUUCCGGUAAAGGAUGGGGAUGCGUUCCAUUAGGUUGUUGGUGAGGUAACGGCCCACCAAGCCUUCGAUGGAUAGGGGUUCUGAGAGGAAGGUCCCCCACAUUGGAACUGAGACACGGUCCAAACUCCUACGGGAGGCAGCAGUGAGGAAUAUUGGUCAAUGGGCGCUAGCCUGAACCAGCCAAGUAGCGUGAAGGAUGAAGGCUCUAUGGGUCGUAAACUUCUUUUAUAUAAGAAUAAAGUGCAGUAUGUAUACUGUUUUGUAUGUAUUAUAUGAAUAAGGAUCGGCUAACUCCGUGCCAGCAGCCGCGGUAAUACGGAGGAUCCGAGCGUUAUCCGGAUUUAUUGGGUUUAAAGGGAGCGUAGGUGGACUGGUAAGUCAGUUGUGAAAGUUUGCGGCUCAACCGUAAAAUUGCAGUUGAUACUGUCAGUCUUGAGUACAGUAGAGGUGGGCGGAAUUCGUGGUGUAGCGGUGAAAUGCUUAGAUAUCACGAAGAACUCCGAUUGCGAAGGCAGCUCACUGGACUGCAACUGACACUGAUGCUCGAAAGUGUGGGUAUCAAACAGGAUUAGAUACCCUGGUAGUCCACACAGUAAACGAUGAAUACUCGCUGUUUGCGAUAUACAGUAAGCGGCCAAGCGAAAGCAUUAAGUAUUCCACCUGGGGAGUACGCCGGCAACGGUGAAACUCAAAGGAAUUGACGGGGGCCCGCACAAGCGGAGGAACAUGUGGUUUAAUUCGAUGAUACGCGAGGAACCUUACCCGGGCUUAAAUUGCAGUGGAAUGAUGUGGAAACAUGUCAGUGAGCAAUCACCGCUGUGAAGGUGCUGCAUGGUUGUCGUCAGCUCGUGCCGUGAGGUGUCGGCUUAAGUGCCAUAACGAGCGCAACCCUUAUCUUUAGUUACUAACAGGUUAUGCUGAGGACUCUAGAGAGACUGCCGUCGUAAGAUGUGAGGAAGGUGGGGAUGACGUCAAAUCAGCACGGCCCUUACGUCCGGGGCUACACACGUGUUACAAUGGGGGGUACAGAAGGCAGCUAGCGGGUGACCGUAUGCUAAUCCCAAAAUCCUCUCUCAGUUCGGAUCGAAGUCUGCAACCCGACUUCGUGAAGCUGGAUUCGCUAGUAAUCGCGCAUCAGCCACGGCGCGGUGAAUACGUUCCCGGGCCUUGUACACACCGCCCGUCAAGCCAUGGGAGCCGGGGGUACCUGAAGUACGUAACCGCAAGGAUCGUCCUAGGGUAAAACUGGA
rnacentral:rRNA from 1 species